rnacentral:rRNA from 1 species
GAUGAACGCUAGCGGCAGGCUUAACACAUGCAAGUCGAGGGGUAUAGUUCUUCGGAACUAGAGACCGGCGCACGGGUGCGUAACGCGUAUGCAAUCUACCUUUUGCAGAGGGAUAGCCCAGAGAAAUUUGGAUUAAUACCUCAUGGUAUGUGAGAAUGGCAUCAUUUUCACAUUAAAGUCACAACGGCAAAAGAUGAGCAUGUCGUCCCAUUAGCUUGUUGGUAAGGUAACGGCUUACCAAGGCAACGAUGGGUAGGGGUCCUGAGAGGGAGAUCCCCCACACUGGUACUGAGACACGGACCAGACUCCUACGGGAGGCAGCAGUGAGGAAUAUUGGACAAUGGGCGCAAGCCUGAUCCAGCCAUGCCGCGUGCAGGAUGACGGUCCUAUGGAUUGUAAACUGCUUUUGUACAGGAAGAAACACUGGUUCGUGAACCAGCUUGACGGUACUGUAAGAAUAAGGAUCGGCUAACUCCGUGCCAGCCGCCGCAGUAACAC